rnacentral:lncRNA from 10 species
CCCCAGCGCCAGCCGCGCGGCCGCGCACCAUUCACCCGGGGGAGAGGCGGAGGAACGUGCGGGUGGGGCAGGGAAGGAAGGCGGCCCCAUCUCCGCCCCCCUUCCCUUCCUUUAUCCCAGUGGGGCCCAGACCCGCGCAACCAGGCGGGGAGGGGAGGUGGGCGCGCGAUUGGGUUGCGAUCUGGAGCAGUGGGGACAGGUCAGGAACCGGCGCGUAUUUCUGCAGUGAGACCACAGGACGGACAUCGGCGCCUUCGGCUUCGAUGGAGUUGCGAUUUUGCUCUUUCCAGGGAAACAGUGGCAGGGUGUUUGCUGCUUAUCGGUUCCUGCGGAUAUGCCUGGGUCCCAGGACAUUCCACUGGAGGCUUGGACUGCAUUUAGGAGCCCCUAUCCCUUCCCUGUCCACACUGUUAGUGAGCAAUUUCAUAUGUUUGCAUUUAGACCCAUAGACUCAGAACGACUCAUCACACACACACACAGUGUACACUGACACACUCACAUUCGCACACUUAGGUAUACAGCCUGAUCCUUGCUCUGACCUGGUAACAACGCUUCCUCCUCCAGAGACUUUGAGAUAGAGCGAGCGAUCCCUGUGCACCAUUCAUCCAUGCUCCCACCUCGCCAGUAUGGCUGGCUUAGUUCUGGAAGGGGCUUAAGAGGAACAAGCCCCAGCUGUGCUUCUGGCUGGGACUUAAACCCCCCUUCUGGGCCCUAAAGCCACGCUUCUUUGUGGACCGGACCUGACUCUCCAGGAAUCUGGGAACCCGCUAUUUCACUCUAUUUUGGGACAAGAAAAAGGGGCUCUUUGGGGCCACUUCCUGCCUUCCCCUCAAGUAGGAUCUCCAGCCUGCAGAGGGUGCCUAGUCCUUCUUUGCCCAAGAACCAGUCCAAGAAGCCUUUCCUCUGUGCCUGGGAAAUGCAACCUUUUCUUGGGAGCAUGGUAGGGUGUUGGUGCUGAAGAACCAAGCAGCGACCCGUCUUGUAGCUGCCAUGUUUUGUCGAGGGGUUCUGGGGGUCCUGCUGCUUUAGAGCCACAUACUUCCACUUCCUGAUUCACUACUGUGAGCUGGUCAGAUGCCUAGAAGAGGAACAAGCGUUCAAAGUGAAAGUGGGCACAUUACCGGAAUAGUGCUGGGGAGAGUGCUGGAUUCUUUUCCACCCCAGGCGGACUGGUGAGAAGCCAGGCUUGGACCUGUCCUCUGCUCCUAGCUUGCACACUCAGCCCUAAACUCAGAGCAGCACGCAUACCACCCCUCACACACACCCCACCAUCUGCUGUCUAAGGCCCCUGGGCUUCCUGCAGGAUCCAGACCAAUGUGGCUGGGCUUGGGCUUUUAUCUGUCCUGAUCCUGGAUUUGUCCUGACCAAUGUACCACAAAGCCACUAGUGCACAGGGACUCAGAAAAGACGGCAGGAGCCCAAGGAAAACUCCAAUUUGAGUACAGCCCUGCCUUGUUUCCCCCAGAGAGUCCCUGAGCAAGGAGACCUCCACCCCACACACACCAUUUCAGAACAACCAGGUUCCAGACUCCCAUGAGGAGCAUCUCCCACUGCAGAGCCUUGGCCAGCCGCGCCCGGACUCCUCAGAGCUGGCGCAAACUCCGUCCUCCAAAACUCGGCUCUGGGAGGCCUAAGUGACUCCGAAGCCGGCGGCAGCCGCGGCAGCGGCCGUGGUGGUGGAAGAGCUCUUUUCCCCGACAGUGCCACUGAUCGCUCUUCACUGGAGCUGGAAACAGCCUUCGCGGAAAGGACCGGAGCAUGCGUUAGAAGCAGAGGGAGCUUGGUGAAGGGCUCGGCUGGAAGGAGGAAACGCCUUCUCGCAGUGCGCGGCCAGCCCGCGGGGGACACCGGCUUGCUGGACUGCAGGGGCCCGUGCCACCCAGGAAGUGACCUGCGGGUCACUCAGCCGGGGCGCUGGGCGAGCGCGGGACGGCCCGGAGAAUUCCGUGCGGCUGCGACGGGAAAAGGACGAGGGGUCUCUGUACCCGACGCUGCCACUGGCCCAAAGGAAUUUUACCCGCGAGCGCCCACCCCACCCUAGCUUGAUGCUUACGCCCGCAACAAAACAGGAAACCAGGACUGGGCAGUGCAUUCUUUAAGUCAACAAAUACACUGAAGACUUCGAGCGUUUGAAGGAAGGAGGGGGUUUGCACGUAAGCCUGGCCCCGCCGGGCUCGGCUUUCUCGCUGAGAAAGCGGCGCAGGCAGCCAGGCGGCCUGGGCCCGCGGGGGUCCAUCUCGCCCUAGACUCCUAAGAACUCCCACGGCCCUGUUCCCAGCUGCGAAUUCUUAAUGCACAACGCGACGGAGGGAAGGAAAUUCACCAGCGCAGCGACGAGGAAGGGGAACUCAGGACCCCUUCAAGUACACACUGAGGUGUGAUCAGAGUUUUAUGGGCACUUUAUAUGCUGUAAUCAUAACGAUGUGUGUGCCUUGAUAUGCACGCAUAUUCACGCAUCAAACGUGCAUACACACACAGAGUGAAUGUGCGCAUCCAAUGUCAUGUGGGUGAAAUACAAGCAUCAUACCCAGCCCUACGAAAAAAAAAUUCACCCUGUCGGACCAGGCUGGUGACAUACUUCGCUGGCGCAUCUCCUUACUCACUCUUACUUUUCCGACCCCUCACCAUUCCCUCUCCUGUGGCUUGGUAAAUACACCUGCCCUCCGUGGAAGGUGAGUCCUGGACUGGCGUUGCCAGGUUCGCAUGUCCUCCCCAGAACCUCCGUCUGGCUCCAGGGACUCUCACUGAGCGGGUCUAGAGCACCCAGCACUUUUCAAGGAACAGCCGCGGUUCCUUUGUCCCGCGGCUCCAGCCCCGUUCGGCCCAGCUCUCAGGGAAACGAAGCGCUCAGUAAGAACUUUUGAUAUUAGUUUGUAUGGGUAUUUACACUCUGGUGAGGGGAGCUGAGUACGGAAGUUCCAUUAAUCAUACUCCAACCUUGGGUUUAGAUAUUCAGUUUAUGGGUUGGGAGAGGGAGUUUGCCGGAAAGAAAGCAUCAAGGUUGGCCGCUGACUCCAGAGAAAUGAAAAGGGAGCAAGGUCGUUUUCUGUUUCUGGAAAUCAAGAAUUAGGAAUGGGCAACUACAGGUGCUAACCAACAGACCACUUUUUUGUUUUUUGGUAGCCCUUUGGCAGGGAUAGUUUUUCCACCUUUGCCCGAUACAAUUUAAAAAAAAAAAUCCUUUUAUUAUGGAAUUUGUCAAACACACACACAAGCAUAACAAACCCCUAGGUACCCAUCUCCAAGUUUUGACCCCUAUUAUAAUUUCAUCUUCAGUGUUUUAUUAUCCACUUCCUCUCUCUCUAUCUUUAGUAUUUUAAAGUAAAUCCCAGAUAGCAUCACAUCAUUUCACCCCCACCAUAGGAUUUCAAAGAUCUGUUAUAUUUCAAGAUUGAGUAAAAGGGCUUGAAAUUGGGUUAUUGCAAUGAAACUCUAGAAAAAGCUUGAGGGUUCACCCAGGAGUAAGCUGGACAAAAAAGGGGUUUGAGGGGUGGACCCAUCUUGCCUAAAAAUCUUGUCUCAUCUUUCUAAAAAUUACAUAUGAAAGAGGAAGAUUUAUGUUACUUUUUUAUAUGAGAGAAUCGUCCUUUAAUAGAAAAUUUCUAUUGCUGCAUCAGAAUUAUGGAGGAACACAAAAAACAUACCUCAGUCCUUAGUGUGUCCUAAAUUAACACAUAUUCACUUAUUAGUGGGUAAAUGACUAUAUUUCAUUUCAGCACAACUUCUCCCCUGGUAGAAACACAAAAGAAAUUUCUAAUGAUUAAACUAGGAAAGUUUGCACUGAAUUGAUGGCUUAUCAGAGCAACCGCAGUUUUCAGGAAGAAAUUCAAUGCCAUGCGUUGAAAAUAUCCCCCUAGCAAUAAGGGAUUAUUUUUAAAAAAGAAUGAAUAAAGAUGUUCUGGUUUCUUUUGUUUUAAUCUGGUAGUCUCAUUUACAACGAGCAUGAUUCUCCCUGUCGAACUCUGAAAGUGACUUAACUGAAAGGCUUGGCAACUUCAGAAAGCAAAAAGGUAAAAACAGAAAAUAGCACACGGUUGAAUUUGACAACUUUUACACUACCCGGCUGCUUAAUAAAUUCUAACCCCACUUGUCUGAGUGGAUACUGAUCAUCUUUUCUAUGGCAGUAUUUUGUAUUUGGGUUGUUUAUGGUUUCUUAAUUAAUUUUUUUGAGUAGUGAUUAAAUAUCUGGGAUGCUUUUACACUAAGCAUAUAAAUUCUCAUGGUAUUAGAAAAGAGCUAUUUGAUGAAACUCAUAAGGGGUAUGUAAAUUAAAAAAGAGAAGAAAGUGUGUGUACAUAUUUUACAAUAAUCUCGAACGACUCCAACUAUAUGUUGCAGAAGCCAUGAGCUCUCUGCCCACUGUCUGUGGGGUAUCAGCAAGAUUGACUCCUACCAAGCCUUGGGCACAGUGGUGG